UACGUAGGUGACAAGCGUUGUCCGGAUUUACUGGGCGUAAAGAGCGCGCAGGCGGUCGUUCAAGUCGAGUGUGAAAGCCCCCGGCUCAACUGGGGAGGGUCAUUCGAUACUGAUCGACUCGAAGGCAGGAGAGGGAAGUGGAAUUCCCGGUGUAGUGGUGAAAUGCGUAGAUAUCGGGAGGAACACCAGUGGCGAAGGCGACCCACUGGGUCAUUUCUGACGCUGAGGUACGAAAGCUAGGGUAGCGAACGGG
rnacentral:rRNA from 1 species